AGUGAACGCUGGCGGUAGGCCUAACACAUGCAAGUCGAACGGCAGCACAGUAAGAGCUUGCUCUUACGGGUGGCGAGUGGCGGACGGGUGAGGAAUACAUCGGAAUCUACUUUUUCGUGGGGGAUAACGUAGGGAAACUUACGCUAAUACCGCAUACGACCUACGGGUGAAAGCAGGGGAUCUUCGGACCUUGCGCGAUUGAAUGAGCCGAUGUCGGAUUAGCUAGUUGGCGGGGUAAAGGCCCACCAAGGCGACGAUCCGUAGCUGGUCUGCGAGGAUGAUCAGCCACACUGGACCUGAGACACGGUCCAGACUCCUACGGGAGGCAGCAGUGGGGAAUAUUGGACAAUGGGCGCAAGCCUGAUCCAGCCAUACCGCGUGGGUGAAGAAGGCCUUCGGGUUGUAAAGCCCUUUUGUUGGGAAAGAAAAGCAGCAGGUUAAUACCCCGCUGUUCUGACGGUACCCAAAGAAUAAGCACCGGCUAACUUCGU
rnacentral:rRNA from 1 species